rnacentral:sRNA from 1 species
AUUGUUAUGUUAUAAUAGCCUCGUAGAGAAGUGAAAGGCGGUGGCUAUCCUGAAAGGUGGUGAUGCUUAUGAAAAUAGGUAUCCAAUCUAAGAAAGGAAAUGCCUUUUUUGACAGUUUUUGAGUCACUUCAACUAAUGUUUGGCUUUGGAAUAUUUAUUAUUUCAUUACUGACUUUAG